rnacentral:rRNA from 1 species
GGCGAACGGGUGCGUAAUGCAUGGGAAUCUGCCUAGUAGUGGGGAACAACCCGGCGAAAGCCGGGCUAAUGCCGCAUACGACCUACGGGUGAAAGCGGGGGAUCGCAAGACCUCGCGCUAUUAGAUGAGCCCAUGUCGGAUUAGCUAGUUGGUAGGGUAACGGCCUACCAAGGCGACGAUCCGUAGCUGGUCUGAGAGGACGGCCAGCCACACUGGGACUGAGACACGGCCCAGACUCCUACGGGAGGCAGCAGUGGGGAAUUUUGGACAAUGGGGGCAACCCUGAUCCAGCGACGCCGCGUGUGUGAAGAAGGCCUGCGGGUUGUAAAGCACUUUCGUUGGGAACGAAAUAUGCCGACCUAAUACGUCGGUAGGCUGACGUUACCCAAAUAAGAAGCACCGGCUAACUCUGUGCCAGCAGCCGCGGUAAUACAGAGGGUGCGAGCGUUAAUCGGAAUUACUGGGCGUAAAGCGCACGUAGGCGGCUAUGUAAGUCAGAUGUGAAAUCCCCGGGCUCAACCUGGGAACUGCAUUUGAGACUGCAUAGCUAGAGUAUGG